GAUGAACGCUAGCUACAGGCUUAACACAUGCAAGUCGAGGGGCAGCAUUAUCUUAGCUUGCUAAGAUAGAUGGCGACCGGCGCACGGGUGAGUAACACGUAUCCAACCUUCCGGUUACUCGGGGAUAGGCUUUCGAAAGAAAGAUUAAUACCCGAUGUUGCGUAUCUUUCUCCUGAAAGAUACGCCAAAGGAUUCCGGUAACCGAUGGGGAUGCGUUCCAUUAGGCAGUUGGCGGGGUAACGGCCCACCAAACCUUCGAUGGAUAGGGGUUCUGAGAGGAAGGUCCCCCACAUUGGAACUGAGACACGGUCCA
rnacentral:rRNA from 1 species